CAUGGCUCAGGACGAACGCUGGCGGCGUGCCUAAUACAUGCAAGUAGAACGCUGAAGGAGGAGCUUGCUUCUCCGGAUGAGUUGCGAACGGGUGAGUAACGCGUAGGUAACCUGCCUGGUAGCGGGGGAUAACUAUUGGAAACGAUAGCUAAUACCGCAUAAAAUUGAUUAUUGCAUGAUAGUCAAUUAAAAGGUGCAAUUGCAUCACUACCAGAUGGACCUGCGUUGUAUUAGCUAGUUGGUGGGGUAAAGGCUCACCAAGGCAACGAUACAUAGCCGACCUGAUAGGGUGAUCGGCAACUAGGGAAAUGAGACACGGCCCAGACACAUACAG
rnacentral:rRNA from 1 species